GCAUGAAGCCGGAAUCGCUAGUAAUCGCGGAUCAGCAUGCCGCGGUGAAUCCGUUCCCGGGCCUUGUACACACCGCCCGUCACACCACGAGAGUUUGUAACACCCAAAGUCGGUGCGGCAACCCUUAAGGGAGCCAGCCGCCUAAGGUGGGACGAAUGAUUGGGGUGAAGUCGUAACAAGGUAGCCGUAUCGGAAGGUGCGGCUGGAUCACCUCCUUUCUAAGGAA
rnacentral:rRNA from 1 species